GCCCUUGUAGCAUAGCGGCUAAUGCAUCUGCCUCGUAAGCAGAAGAUCGAGAGUUCAAAUCUCUUCAAGGGCU
rnacentral:tRNA from 1 species